rnacentral:lncRNA from 1 species
CAGAACGGGCAGAAAAAGGUGUCUAACGGCUAGUUUCCGUGGGGGAUGGGUUAAAUAGCCACAGAGGACUGUAGCAAGGCAGAGAACGUACCAUUCCAUUCAAAAAGAUCAAGCAUUCAUUCUCUGCAAGUGGUUUUUCAACGAAAAGAGGGAAGAGCGCCAUUAACUCCUUCCAACCACAUCUUCCCAACAUUGAAAGAGAUCUCCUCCUGCCUUCAAGUCGUCCAGAAUUUCAAGAGGAGACCCGAAGUUCAAGAAGCCCUUUCUCUUCUCCAACUUAAACGCGUUUGAGGGCUCUUAACUUUGCUUUUAUUAAUAUUGCUGUAUAUUUGCUUUUGAGAAGCUCUGUUUUUCUGUUUGUCCUCAUUAUUAGCAUAUUGUCUUAGCUUGGUUCAAUCGGAGGAUUGAAUCAAGGGUGUAGAGGUUGG